GGUUUUUUCUUAAAAUUUAAUUUCGAGCAAAUGUGAGAGUGAAUAUGAGUGUGUGUGUGAGCGCUCGCUGUGUCCACACAAUCAUCGUUACGGAAAGGGUCGGAUUUUUUGUUGUUGGACAAUCGUUUAGUGGCGUUUCGGUCAGUCGAUGUUUGUUUCGGCAUUUUGCAGGCAAUUUGGUUUGUUAUUUGAAGGAAUGAGGUUCGGAAGAGAGCAAGGGAAAAAAUGUGACAGCGGAAAAAUAUCCAAAGCAGCAAAUAAAUAUCCACAAUAGACAUUUUAUUCGGAACAUCCAAACUCCCGUUAUUGUAAUCAAAACUACAAGUAACCAUGGGCUUUAGCAGCAGAUAAAUAUCCAAAAUGGCUAGAAGGGUAAAAAUGCGUCAAAGGAUAAUUUUAGAUAAUGUAUUUAUAAGUACGAAUUGAAAGUGGAAUGGAAGUGUUAUAAAGCUAUCAAAUUUGA